GAAUAAACAUAUUAUUUUAAGCCACACAAUUUGUAAUAUUUUGUUACAGCAACCUUAGGAAACUAAUAUCCAUCGCAGCACCAGUACAAAGUGUGAUGGGAGCCCAUGAGCAGAUGAUGAGUCAGGACAUAUGAAGACAGGAAACUGCAAAUCCUCCACACUUACUUUAGCCCAGAUUGCAUCAUCCUCACUGAAUCACUUUAUCCUGUCACAAACAGCACUGCCAUGUUCUACAAGUGCCACUAUAGAACAGUUCUACCUGCACAUGGAAAACUGCAAUGACCUUUUAAUUAAG
rnacentral:lncRNA from 1 species